CCCCAUUGAUGUCUGAUAUUGCUGCAAUCCAGGGAACUCACUCUUAGAACUUGAUGGUUUCUGGGGAGGAAAGGAUAGUUGAGGAUGAAUGCUACAAAGGGUGGGAGCCUGGGGCUGGCUUUUACGUGAAGCACUAUUGUUCUAUGGAGUUUGAGCAGCCCCUGUGAGGGCCUGACAGCAGGUUGGCCUAGGCAGUAUGCCGGAAUCCCCACCUUUCACACCCUGGAACCCUUCUGUGAGUCCAUCCCUGCUGAAGUACCGCUCCUGUGCUCUGUACACGUGUGAGUUUCUGGAGACACCUCCCACAGUUCUCUCCAUGCUGGCGAGUGAACCAAUCCUCUUCUACCUCUUGCUGUUAGCAUUGUCCACCCAGCCCCAGCUGGUAGAGUAGACUUCCUGGCCGGCGGCUGCUGCCCAGCGCCUCCCUGUGGCCAGGAGGAGCUUCUGCCUAGCUGAACAGCAGCCUGUGACUGGCUGAGCCUUCCAGAAGCAACAGAAAGGAGGAUCUGCUUGUAGUGACUAAGGGGUGGGGAGAUGGCGCAUGGAACUUUUUGGUCUGGGAAAUCAUCUGUUCUUCUCUUGAUCUCUACCUGGGUGCAUACAUCAUACCAAUCACACCUCUAGCGCCUCCCCGACCACACCCCUGUUGGCCCUAAGACAGACACCUCAGGGGCCUGAGAUUCUAGUCCCAGAGAAUGAAGUGGAGUGAAGAGGUGAUGUCAGGGCGGGUACUGGCCCUAAGCACUGACAGGGGUCCCUCAAGGCCUGCCUGGAAUCACCUCUGCCCAGGUUCAGCUGCCAGGAAGGCAGAAGUUCAAAAGCCUAGCUAUGAAGCAUCUUUAUUAAGCUUUGCAAAGGUUUCCUGCUACAGGAGGGGAGAAAGCUGUGCAGUCUCUUGGGAAAGGACUUUUCCCUUAGAGUGGGCCUCGGGGCUGCACUCCAGAGUUGUGGCAAUCUGCCUAAGUUUCCAAACCUGAAGGCUGUGGGUGACAGUGCUGACAUUCAACCGGCAGGGGGCGCCAAGCCGAAACUAAUCCCCAUGUUGCAGAUAACUAUAAACAGGCAGGAAGGCAACUUUGUCUCCACCCGCAGAUGCUUCCGGGCCUUGAGGUCAGGGUCUCUCCACAUUCCUAUUCCUCUUCCCCAGUUCAAGACCCUGACCCACACAACCCAGAAGAGCUCUUUCUCCCGUGUUAUAAAUCCCAUUCCCUAUUUUAGGCAGAAAUAAAGUAAGCUCACUUCCUCUGGUGUGUUCCUGCUCUUGGGACUAACCAAGCCUAGUCUAGUUAUUAAGAGAAUUAGCAAUAGGUGAGAUGUCCCUGAAUGGACGACAGCUCCCAGGCCUCCUCAGUUAGCAAGAUAUGGAUGGCCAAGUGACCCAUCAAGGGGAAACUGACCUGACCUGUGUAUGGGCAUUGAACCUGUCAGGUGUGGAAGACAGCAAAGAAGGCACCCACAGCCCUGGUGGAGCCAGCACUUACAAAGCAUUGGCGACCGAGGGCUGUGUGUAAUUGAACCUUCCACCUGGAUAGGAAUCUGAAGUCAGGACUCGUGUGUUCCGCACAGUAAACACAGAUCGCCUGGUCUUUAGAGUUGUUUUCCCCUUUGUGAUGUUAGGCUCUUAAAAUAGGGGGAAAGUUUUAUCUAAUUUAUUAAAAGAGAGAGUAAGUUGCUUCAGAAGGUGAAAGCUUUUUCAGAGUAAGAACUCCUGAGAGGGACCAUGCCUUGUGCAUUUCUGUGUGUGUUCUUAUACAAAUGGAAGCACUGUAUAGAGGUUUAUUUUGUCUCUAAGAUGAAUCGUUUGUUUUAGGUGAGUGUUUGGAAAUAGCUGUCUGUUCUUUGGCUGGGACAUGUCUUUUUGUUUCUCUUUGGGGUUGGAUUUUGAAGGCUGGGUGCUGUCGAAGGCUGAUAGCAGAUUGUUCCAGCCUUGAAUAACUACAUUUGUCCACAGUGUGUGCACACACAUGUCCCAGUGUAUGCAGGCACACAAGACUGUAUAUAUAGUGUGUAUACGUGUGUACCUGUGUGUUUUGUGUAUGUUCCAGUGUGUGGUGUAUACACAUGCACCCCCAGACUAGGGCCAAGGGUGCCAAGAAUCCUUUAGUACCCUCAGGACCAGACCCUAUCUCUGAAUCUGAUGAUGACCAAGGUAGUGAGGGGUCUCAUGCUCCAUCACCCUAGCUCUAGCUGACAUGUUGCUGAGGCAGAAAACCAGCCCUCAGUCUAUCUCUGUAGAAGAAGGAGCCCCCAAAUACUUCAGCUAGUUAGCAUGGUGGAGGCGAGAUGUUGACUUUUUCUCGUCCUUAGCGAAUGAAUGUAGGCGUGAAGUUGCGGUACCUACUAGUGAGUUGGGUUGCACUGAAGCUAUGUGUUGCUCAUGGAUGAGUGUGUAUCCUUUAGAUCAGACCAGGGUGGUUUACCUAGAUUGUAUGUAACUAGGCGCCACCACCCUCUCCCAAAAUUUUUGACUGAAAAGGAAAGACCAAGUAUUUUGUUAACGACAGGCUAUGCUGUGUCACGACACGAUUCCAAGCCUGGACUCUUAUAUUUAUUUAAAACUCUUUUAAUUUCUCUUUCUUCUCUUCCCCUCUGUCUGUGUGUCCGUUAGAGUAGACAGAUGGCAGGAAUAGGUCUGUAGUCCUUCAGGAAGCCAGCAGCCUGGAGCUGGAAAUGGGCUCCUCUCAUUCGAGUUGCCUUCAACAGAAAGUGAGAAGUUUUUUCGGCUUGGGUUUUUUUUUUUCUUUACAUAUAGCAAAAGACCAAAUUAGCUGUAUAGUCUUGGAUACAGAAUAUAAGAAUUACUCUAGCUGUCCUAGCACUUAGGGUCCUGUGGGGAUUCCGUGUUUAGCACAGUGCCUGGCUCAUAGGGAGCCUAGUGAAUGUUCAAUAUUGAUAUUAGUAGUAUAUCAUAAAACUUGAGAAAUAAAGAGCUGCGCUCACCCCCUAUCUGUUGAUUCAGACAUGAUGGUUACAUAGAAACCUUGUUGAGUCGAUCAGAUGCUAUAGGAAUUAACUGUUUCAAUUGUUUAAGCUCUGUGCCUACCCUGCUCGCUGGAAUUCUAGUGUCUUCUCGAAUGCACUGAGUAAUUGGGAAAUUUGCCAGUCUUCAGCACUCUGUGAAACAAGGCUGAAUUUAUUACCUGAAAUUGAACCACCAAUAUGUUCUGGAACAUUCCAGGGGUUUCUUUGAGGGACCUUUUGAGCUCAAAAUUAAAAGUUCUCUCACAAGUUUCA
rnacentral:lncRNA from 1 species